AGGAUGGACCCAGGACGCCUCAGGAUGGACCCGGGACCCCCUGAAACGACCCCAAGACCCUUCAGGAUGUCACCGUGACCCCGUGAGACCCCCGUGCCGUGUUCCCCCCUCCCAGGAGGAGGAAGAGGAUGAUGAGGAGGAUGAGGAGGAGCGGUGUCACCGCAGCAUCGUGGCCUGGUUCUCCGACCACCCCCGCGCCCCCUUCGGGAUCCAUCGCCUGGUGGAGCUGGGCCGCGGCGCCGGCAAAAAAGCCGGGGAUUGGUACGGACCCUCCAUCGCCGCCCACAUCCUGAGGAAGGCAGUGGAUUCCUGCCCGGAGACCCUCGGUCUCUCCGUCUACGUCUCCCAGGAUUGCACUGUUUACAAAGGGGACGUGGCGGGGCUGGUGCGGGGGGACGGUGGAGCCCCCCAGGCCGGGCGGCGGCGUCGGGCCGUGGUGAUCCUGGUGCCUGUCAGGUUGGGGGGGGACAGGCUGAACCCCGUCUACGUGGAUUGUG